UACGGAGGGUGCAAACGUUGCUCGGAAUCAUUGGGCGUAAAGCGCACGUAGGCGGUCCCAUAAGUCGGGUGUGAAAGCCCUCGGCUUAACCGAGGAAGUGCAUUCGAAACUGCGGGACUUGAGUACCGGAGAGGGUGACGGAAUUCCCGGUGUAGAGGUGAAAUUCGUAGAUAUCGGGAGGAACACCAGUGGCGAAGGCGGCUCACUGGUCCAUUACUGACGCUGAGGUGCGAAAGCGUGGGGAGCAAACAGG
rnacentral:rRNA from 1 species